rfam:Enterococcus pallens ATCC BAA-351 genomic scaffold acvKb-supercont1.1, whole genome shotgun sequence.
CCACAGCUACAACCGCACAGAGCAAGUCUUAAGUACGCAAGUCACUUGUGAUGGCGAGUCUAAGUAUAAAU